GAUGAACGCUGGCGGCGUGCCUAAUACAUGCAAGUCGAGCGAACAGACGAGGAGCUUGCUCCUCUGACGUUAGCGGCGGACGGGUGAGUAACACGUGGAGAACCUACCUAGAAGACUGGGAUAACUUCGGGAAACCGGAGCUAAUACCGGAUAAUAUAUUGAACCGCAUGGUUCAAUAGUGAAAGACGGUUUUGCUGUCACUUAUAGAUGGAUCCGCGCCGCAUUAGCUAGUUGGUAAGGUAACGGCUUACCAAGGCAACGAUGCGUAGCCGACCUGAGAGGGUGAUCGGCCACACUGGAACUGAGACACGGCCCAGACUCCUACGGGAGGCAGCAGUAGGGAAUCUUCCGCAAUGGGCGAAAGCCUGACGGAGCAACGCCGCGUGAGUGAUGAAGGUCUUCGGAUCGUAAAACUCUGUUAUAAGGGAAGAACAAAUGUGUAAGUAACUAUGCACGUCUUGACGGUACCUAAUCAGAAAGCCACGGCUAACUACGUG
rnacentral:rRNA from 1 species